rnacentral:rRNA from 1 species
UACAGAGGUCUCAAGCGUUGUUCGGAUUCAUUGGGCGUAAAGGGCGCGUAGGCUGCGGGGCAAGUCGGGUCGUGAAAUCUCAGAGCUCAACUCUGAAACUGCACUCGAUACUGCUUUGCUUGAGGACUGGAGAGGAGACUGGAAUUUACGGUGUAGCGGUGAAAUGCGUAGAUAUCGUAAGGAAGACCAGUGGCGAAGGCGGGUCUCUGGACAGUUCCUGACGCUGAGGCACGAAGGUCAGGGGAGCAAACGGG